rnacentral:rRNA from 1 species
UACGGAGGGGGCUAGCGUUGUUCGGAAUUACUGGGCGUAAAGGGCGCGUAGGCGGCGAUUCAAGUCAGGCGUGAAAGGCCUGGGCUCAACCCGGGAACUGCGGUUGAUACUGGAUUGCUGGAGUCCGGGAGAGGAUGGCGGAAUUCCCAGUGUAGAGGUGAAAUUCGUAGAGAUUGGGAAGAACACCGGUGGCGAAGGCGGCCAGCUGGACCGGAACUGACGCUGAGGCGCGAAAGCGUGGGGAGCAAACAGG